rnacentral:rRNA from 1 species
AAUCAACGCUGGCGGCGUGCAUAACACAUGCAAGUCAAGGGGGUCAGUAGCAAUACUGGCAACCGGCGAACGGGUGCGUAACACGUAAGCGACCUACCUCAAUGUGGGGCAUAGCCGGCCUAACGGCCGGGUAAUUCCGCAUGUGAUCUUGGAGGGGCAUCUCUCCGGGAUGAAACCAGUAAUGGGCAUUGAGAGGGGCUUGCGGCCUAUCAGCUUGUUGGGAGGUAACGGCUCACCAAGGCUACGACGGGUAGCUGGUCUGAGAGGAUGGCCAGCCACAUUGGGACUGAGAAACGGCCCAGACUCCUACGGGAGGCAGCAGUGGGGAAUCUUGCGCAAUGGCCGAAAGGCUGACGCAGCGACGCCGCGUGUGGGAGGACG